rnacentral:rRNA from 1 species
AACGUAGGGUGCAAGCGUUAUCCGGAUUCACUGGGUGUAAAGCGCGUGCAGGUGGUUUCGUAAGUUGGACGUGAAAUCUCUCGGCUUAACUGGGAGGGGCCGUUCAAUACUGCGGGACUUGAGGGCAGGAGAGGGAGGUGGAAUUCCCGGUGUAGUGGUGAAAUGCGUAGAUAUCGGGAGGAACACCAGUGGCGAAGGCGGCCUCCUGGCCUGCUCCUGACACUGAGACGCGAAAGCUAGGGGAGCGAACGGG